ensembl:lncRNA
ACUUCCAGAUGCAGAACUUUCUCUCUCUGUCUUUCCGCAGGUUGUCAUUAUAUAUCAUUAGCUCAACCCUCUCUCGUCCCAUUAUGUUGCCAUGGCAAAGGUCCAGCCACUGCCUGUUGUCAUGGUGAUAAAUCACAAUGCGUUAGAUGGGGGGGCAUUAAGAGUUUUGCAAAAGCAAAUCACACGCUGAGAGCAUUCAAGUCAAACUGACCCGGAGUAAGUUAAUCUGUAAAUCACACACAGUCUGACCUCCAUCACAAGACAAGCUCCAUCUCCUCCGAACACAACUCCAGAGUUACAGUAACGCCGUUGCUGUGCCGUGAUGUUACUGUUGCUAGAUGUCACCCCGGAUGCUGACCUCAGAAUGCUGGGUGUGUCUGUCAGUCAAACCCAGGCGUGGAUGUCCCGCCUACAGCCCAAGCCCCGCCCUUGGUACCGAGCUUCUGUGAUUGGCUGAAAAUAUAAGAGAAGGUGUAGCCGCCGGAGAAGAGCGCAGAACGUCGCCGCAGCAACCACGACCAGUGGAGACAUCAUGACAAAGCCCAGGAUGAUGAGGGCAGAGCAACUGUUGUCAUCAAGCCGGCGUACAGCAGCAGGGCGGUGGGCAGCAGAAUGAGGCUGAAGACCAGGACCAUCAGCACCACACACCCCGUCAGCAGCAGGACGUUCCACAGCAGCAGAAGCAGCGUCCACAGCACACACCCGCAGUGGCCCCGCCGGGCCCCCCAGACCCCGCCGUCACACUGAGCCGGAGGAGGAGGCAGCAUCUGGAUCCCGUCACCCGCGUCAAAGUCUUCAUCACCUUCACCAUCAUCUAACAGCACCGUCAUACCACACAUCCUAAACACAUUAUACAUUUAAUAUAACACAAAAUAUGAUAUAUUAAACAUAUUUAAAUAUCAAAUACAGUCACCUUCAACAUUUCUCACAUUAUAUCAC